rnacentral:lncRNA from 1 species
GUCGACACUUGGGGAUAUAUAGGAGCUUCCCCCCCGACGCCUGAGAACAAGGUCUGAAAUUUGGGCCGGGUACAGUCACACGGGUGCAGCCAAAAUGACGGACAAAAAUCCAGAGGUGAUGGUGUGCGAUGCGUCGAUUAUGAAGAACGUUUGGGAGAUCAGGCUCCGGGAGUACGGGCAGAGGAUAAAAUUGGAGCAAGAUAGAAUCGAAAAGAGUGCCCUACUGAGAAUUAAUGAAGAUUGGGCAAAGCGCAUGUCUGGACAUGUAAAACCAAGAAGAGUUGAAAGAAAAGCCAAACCUCCAGAGGAGCUUCCUGCCCAGACCUUCAAACCCAAGCAGGUGCCUCUGGGAAGACCUAGUGGAUUUGUGAGCAGUCGACCACAGAAGCAAGUUGACGUAAAAAAAGACACGAAACCAACGAAACAAAGCAAGCUGAAUUUGUUACUUAGUCUAAACGAGAAGCAGCCAGGCAUGAUGGUGUGGACCAAGGCUUGGAAGUUCUCACAGGCUUUACCACAACCAGAACAGAUGCCUGCUGCAUCAGACUGGGGAACGGCAUGGAAGUUCCUAAAUAUCCAGCCAAAGAAUGAAGGAAAAUCAUGGAUGGAACAGGAACGUGACGCCGACGAUACCAACAACAACGUUACCUACAACGAGGCUCUGCUUCAGUGGGAGAAGGUUGAUAAGACACUGUACUUUCAGACGUUUGAGGAAGAAGACUUGGCUAUUCCAGACUGGGAGAAAUCCUGGAAGUACACAAAGCAGAGGAAAGACUGUCAAAGUGAUGAAAAAACUAAUUUAAGACAGAAAAGUCUUGACGUGUUCCAACAGUUCCAACGCUACAAUGGGGAACGCUCGUCGUCUGAGUGGAACGAAUCCUGGAAGUCACCUAAACCACCAAACGAGGAACACGUUACUUUUGAACGGAAGAGUACAAAUAAGGAAGACAAUGAAAAUGAAAAUAGAAACCAAGAAGAAGAACAAUCCACCAUUCCAUGGGGUCAAUCUUGGAAGCAGUUCAAGAAACAGCUUCACCUGCCAUCAAAAUCAAUGGGAACAUCGAUUCCACCUGCCUGGAUGGACUCCUGGAGAGUUUCUAAACCUAUUUCGCCAAAGCUGCAUCAAGAAUCAGCAACAACCAGGUCAAAUGUAUUAGAGCCUCAAGUGAAUAUGCCUGAGGAGCCAUUGGAUCCUAAAAGGUACCAAUCAAUAAUGGAAGCUUCCAGAGAAGAACAGUUGAAGAGCAAAAUGGAAUUGUGGAAUUCCCAGCUCCAGGCAAAAGAUCCCUUGCCUGUCAAUGAGUGGCAGAAAUCAUGGAUGACCACUAAGAAUAUGUCAGAGUAUAAAGAACAACCCAUUGAGAAGAUGAGUAGAGAAGAUAAACCAAUGCCAAUGCCAAUUGAACGUCAAGAAAUGAAGAAAGUAGGGUUUGGUAGUGGCCUGCAACAACAUGGCCAAUUUGAGUUAAUUCCAUUAUUCCCUAAGAGAUUCCCUAAGCCUCCACAGAUAACAGAACUCUCAGAGCUCUCAAAGGACAAAGAACCUUUCAUCUCAAGGUGGAAAGACUCUUGGAAGUCCUUAAAAAAACAACGUAGACAAGACAGAAUCCAAAGCAGGCUACAAAGAAUGUCCCAACAAGCCCAACAAGUAGGCACUCCUCAAACUUCUCUGAGCGGAUGGACUAAUUCCUGGAGGUUCACAAACCUAAACCUUAACCAGAAUAGCGAUCUCUGGCAACAAGGUUGGGCCACUUAUUCCCGAAAUAGACCUGAAAGGUGGGUUCGAGAAAAUGACUUCCCCAAUAAUGGGCCGACAUCGGCUCGUGGAUGGGGUGAGUCUUGGAGAUCGACAAGACAUCAACACCGCGCUGAAAGGGAAGCAACACGCACUGCAUCAACCCAACGUCCGUCAACCCAACGUCCAUCAACCCAACCUCAACCAGAUAGGUUAGAGACUCAGCUUCACCAACAAGAAAGAAGCGAGCAUUCUUGCUCAGAUUGGGAGCAAUCAUGGAAGUUCUCAAUGAAUGAGUAUCAUCAUGACAAACCUUCAUCGACAGAGUGGGCAGAUUCUUGGAAGUUCUGUAGUUUCCAUUUUGAGGAUUGGUCGAAACGCCAAACUGAACCUAACAAAGGUCAAUGGAAGUCAAUAGUGAUCAAUGGUAGGAAGGGGCUUCAUCUUCCUUCUCAUAUGAUCAGCAGUUCAUUUGAGGCUCAGGUCUUCAAGCAAAGGUUUCCUUCAAAAGAAUGGCAGAAUUCAUGGAAAAUGUUUACUGGAAAGAAACAGUCCAAACCCGACAGGGACAUCCCUCAAUCUUGGGAUCAUUCCUGGAUGUUCAAUCCCACACAAUUCUACCGAAGUUCUAGUGGAAGCGACGAUUCGUCAUCCAUGCAGUGGAGUCAAAGCAUGGGAAAUUUAGCACAGUACGAAAGCACUUCGGAAUGGGGUCGAUCAUGGAGGAUCGCCAACAUCCAGCCUCCGAAGAGCGUCGCUUCAUGGUUUGAAGCAGAGCCAUGUACAUGUUCUCCAACAUAUAUGGUCUUCUGGACGCGAUACAAAUGCAACGACUGCCUGUUUUCCCUUCUCGCCAAAGAAUACGCCAAACUUAAGAAGUGGAGCAUUGCCUGGAGGUUCAUGAAACUGGAGAGCAAGAUCGACAUGAAGGCUGCGAUUAGCCAAACAACGCCUGAAGACGAUUCCAUCAUAAUAAAGAAGGUGAUGAAGCCAAAGAAGCCUAUGUUUUCUCAAGUGGAAAAAGACAAAGAAGCAUCAUAUCUAAAGAGGUGGGUCGAUGCCUGUAAGCUAGCAAAGACUCAGCCACGCCCGAAACGGGAGGUCAAGUCCAAACCUGGUCAAGCGAAGGAUGAAGCUCUUAAAGCGAUGAUUGCGGAAUGGGCAGAAUCAUGGAGAUUCGCGUCUGAUUCUAAAACUGAUGAGCCGGUUAAAGUAUCGGUAUCUCUUGCUGAUUGGGAAGAUUCCUGGAAGUUCCUGCUUAGCUCUUAUGCACCUCAGAGCAGCCCAAAGAUGAUGAUGGGAAGCCAAAAGGGACGUUCCUAGUUUGUGGCAUGGAAACAAUAUGAAUGUAUGAGUUUGAUAAGGGUCAAUAUCAAUAUAACGUGCCUUUUGUGCCUUUCGUGUCCAAGGCAUUGUUGUUUCAUAUAUUUCAUACAACUCUUGUGUAACAAUACAUUUUAAGAUGAAGAUAUUUACUCUAAAUAAACACUUUAUUAUUACACUUAUAUAAAGGAAA